UACGUAGGGGGCAAGCGUUGUCCGGAAUCAUUGGGCGUAACGAGCGUGUAGGCGGCCAGAUAAGUCCGCUGUGAAAUCUCGAGGCUCAACUUCGAGCUGUCAGUGGAAACUGUCUGGCUAGAGUCCGGAAGAGGAGAAUGGAAUUCCUGGUGUAGCGGUGAAAUGCGCAGAUAUCAGGAAGAACACCCGUGGCGAAGGCGGCUCUCUGGGACGGUACUGACGCUGAGACGCGAAAGCGUGGGGAGCGAACAGG
rnacentral:rRNA from 1 species